CACGUAGGGCGCAAGCGUUGUCCGGAAUUAUUGGGCGUAAAGAGCUCGUAGGCGGACUGUCACGUCCGCUGUGAAAAGCUAGGGCUUAACCCUGGCCUUGACAGUGGAUACGGGCAGACUAGAGGUAGGUAGGGGAGAAUGGAAUCCGGCGUAGGCGGUAGUGAAAUGCGCAGAUAAUCGGGAGGAACACCGGUGGCGAAG
rnacentral:rRNA from 1 species